AGCAGCCGCGGUAAUUCCAGCUCCAAUAGCGUAUAUUAAAGUUGUUGCAGUUAAAAAGCUCGUAGUUGAAUUUCGGGAUCAAGUCGUCGGUCGUGCUCAGGUACGUACUGGCGUCAUUGAUUUCUCCCUUCUGACGAACCAUGAUGUCAUUAAUUUGGUGUCAUGGGAAAUCAGGACUGUUACUUUGAAAAAUUAGAGUGUUUAAAGCAGGCUCACGCUUGAAUACAUUAGCAUGGAAUAAUGAAAUAGGACGUUCGAUCCUAUUUUGUUGGUUUUUAGGAUCAACGUAAUGAUUAAUAGGGAUAGUUGGGGGCAUUAGUAUUCAAUUGUCAGAGGUGAAAUUCUUGGAUUUAUUGAAGACUAACUACUGCGAAAGCAUUUGCCAAGGAUGUUUUCAUUAAUCAAGAACGAAAGUUAGGGGAUCGAAGACGAUCAGAUACCGUCGUAGUCUUAACCAUAACUAUGCCGACUAGGGAUCGGAUGAUGUUAAUUUUUAAUGA
rnacentral:rRNA from 1 species